UAUGUAGGGAGCAAGCGUUGUCCGGAAUCAUUGGGCGUAAAGCGCGCGUAGGUGGCCUCAUAAGUCCGCUGUGAAAGUCAAAGGCUCAACCUUUGAAAGCCGGUGGAUACUGUGAGGCUAGAGUACGGAAGAGGCGAGUGGAAUUCCUGGUGUAGCGGUGGAAUGCGCAGAUAUCAGGAGGAACACCAAUAGCGAAGGCAGCUCGCUGGGACGUUACUGACACUGAGGCGCGAAAGCGUGGGGAGCGAACAGG
rnacentral:rRNA from 1 species